rnacentral:lncRNA from 1 species
GCAAGUUCAGUUUAACUCUGUUUCCUAAAACCACAAACAGUUCUUCACUGUAACACUAUCCAUUUAUAAAUAUCUUUAUUUUCUAACUAAUUUGCGUGAAAAAAAGCAAUAUUAAUCAGUGGGUGGUGAAUUUAUAUAGAAUCACGUGAUUCGUUCUGGUGAGCAUACAAGUUUCUAGAAAGAUCUAUGGUGUGGUGACUCAACUUUGCAGGAUCAAUUCCCUAGAUUGUUCUGUGUCUACCAAAAAUCAGUUAAAGUUGUGGACAUUUUCUGUCAGCACAGCAACAACCAGUGGAACUUUCUUUCAGAAGGAGAUUAUUCAGCUUGCAGGAGGAAUUACUGCUGGAGCUAAUGCUGAAGUCGGAGAGCUUUCAGUUAGCUCAAGAUAGAAGUGACUGCUUGUAAUUAAAGUGGGAACCUGGGGGACUUUUCUCUGUGAAGUCUCUCUAUAGCAAAUAAGGACAGAUCUGAGCUCGGCGAGCUAAAUCUAUUAUGGAAAAGUCUAUGACCUCUUAGGAUGGAAGUCUUUUGCUGGUUAGCAGUGAAAAAUAGGAUUGAUACAAAGGGACUGCUUCUGAGAAGGAAUGUUAACUUUGGAAAUAGUACUUUAAACUAUUGUACCUUGUUGAAAAGAUCACUGUUAAGUGAUUGUGAAAUACCAAGAGAGAAAGUCUCUUGAAGACUAAAAAGAGUUCUAGUAUUUGUAAAGAUUGUCAAGCACCCGUAAGUUUGAAAAUAGUGAAUUUCUAAGAAGAAACUUGGAGAGUGGACUAGGCCGAAAUUUUCC